AGACGGCAUAAAUGCCUCCUCAGCCCGAACGAUUCAAAAUAAUGGCUGUCUUAUCCAUAACUCACG
rnacentral:ncRNA from 1 species